CCUACGGGGGGCUGCAGUGGGGAAUAUUGCACAAUGGGGGGAACCCUGAUGCAGCGACGCCGCGUGAGUGAAGAAGGAUUUCGGAAUGUAAAGCUCUAUCAGCAGGGAAGAAAAUGACGGUACCUGACUAAGAAGCCAUGGCUAAAAACGUGCCAGCAGCCGCGGUAACACGUAGGGGGCAAGCGUUAUCCGGAUUUACUGGGUGUAAAGGGGGUGUAGACGGUUUUGCAAGUCUGAAGUGAAAGCCCAAGGCUCAACCAUGGGACUGCUUUGGAAACUGUAAAACUGGAGUGCAGGAGAGGUAAGCGGAAUGCCUAGUGUAGCGGUGAAAUGCGUAGAUAUUAGGAGGAACACCAGUGGCGAAGGCGGCUUACUGGACUGUAACUGACGUUGAGGCUCGAAAGCGUGGGGAGCAAACAGGAUUAGAUACCCGGGUAGUC
rnacentral:rRNA from 1 species